rnacentral:rRNA from 1 species
UACGUAGGGUGCAAGCGUUGUCCGGAAUUAUUGGGCGUAAAGAGCUCGUAGGCGGUCUGUCGCGUCGGCUGUGAAAACUCAGGGCUUAACCCUGAGCCUGCUUCCGAUACGGGCAGACUAGAGGUAUGCAGGGGAGAACGGAAUUCCUGGUGUAGCGGUGAAAUGCGUAGAUAUCGGGAGGAACACCUGAGGCGAAGGCGGGCUACUGGGCUGAUACUGACGCUGAUGCGCGAAAGCCAGGGGAGCGAACGGG